AAUGAGAUGGCUGAAUUAGGCGGUAAACUGUAAAUUUACUUAUGAAUAUUAAUUCUCUCAUU
rnacentral:tRNA from 1 species